rnacentral:rRNA from 1 species
GACGAACGCCGGCGGCGUGCUUAACACAUGCAAGUCGAGCGGUAAGGCCCUUUCGGGGGUACACGAGCGGCGAACGGGUGAGUAACACGUGGGUGACCUGCCCUCAGCUCUGGGAUAAGCCUGGGAAACUGGGUCUAAUACUGGAUAUGACUCCACGGUGCAUGUCGUGGGGUGGAAAGCCUUGUGCGGCUGAGGAUGGGCCCGCGGCCUAUCAGCUUGUUGGUGGGGUGAUGGCCUACCAAGGCGACGACGGGUAGCCGGCCUGAGAGGGCGACCGGCCACACUGGGACUGAGACACGGCCCAGACUCCUACGGGAGGCAGCAGUGGGGAAUCUUGCGCAAUGGGCGAAAGCCUGACGCAGCGACGCCGCGUGAGGGAUGACGGCCU